GAGAGGGACCGACUCUUCGGAGAGCCUGCACAGGUGCUGCAUGGCUGUCGUCAGCUCGUGUCGUGAGACGUUCGGUUAAGUCCGCUAACGAGCGCAACCCUCGUCGUGUGUUACAAGUGUCACGCGAGACCGCCGGUGUCAAGCCGGAGGAAGGUGAGGAUGACGUCAAGUCAGCAUGGCCUUUAUAUCCUGGGCUACACACACGCUACAAUGGUUGGCACAAUUGGUUGCGAAGCCGCGAGGCGGAGCCAAUCCGUAAAGUCAGCCUCAGUUCAGAUUGUAGGCUGCAACUCGCCUGCAUGAAGAUGGAGUUGCUAGUAAACGCAGGUCAGCAUUACUGCGUUGAAUACGUUCCCGGGGAUU
rnacentral:rRNA from 1 species